GGAAAAUUCCUCAAGAUUUUCAAUUUGCAACUGCCUUUGGAUGGUCUGAGGGCAAGUACGGAAGUAAAUGCAAUGAUAUUUUAAAAGACUUGAGCAUCCGAGACAUCAAUAAAGCACUAUGCAGACACAUGAUUAAAAAUGAAUAUGCAAAGACAGUGGAUUUAAGAUAGCAAGAAAUUAUGAAACCUUGAAAAGGGCAUUCAAACCUGGAUAGCGGCAAAGCUAAGCGAACAAGGUGAAGGAAGCAUUUGGAAACUGUGUAUUCAGUGUCAAAAAACUACAUGAUUACAGAAAGUACAUUCAAAAGAAACUAAAGUUUCAGAACCUGGAAAUGAUCACACCUCUCCAUGAGAGGUAAUAAAAUGCCAAUUCUCCAAUUAAACCUUUCACUUUCUGUCUUUUCUUUCUUUCUGCAAUAUCUCAACAUAACUAUCACUAUCGCGUGAAAAGUUAUUGAGGUGAGAAAUCCAUUUUAGAGGUUUACUACUGAGGAGAAAUAAGACAAUAUUCGUAACAAAUUAGUUUACCUUCACCAGAAGCAUCUCAUGGAAAAACACCACCCUUACACCCCUGCUCCCUACUUUUAACACCACAUACAUAGAUAGUCGAUAGAUACAAUAUACACAGGGCCAAAAGAAAGCAAGAAAGAAGGGGCGAAGAGGGGGUAUCUAUACAUUUCAGCUUACAACUGCAACAGAAUGAUGGGUAACAUUGAAAAGAAAGAAAAGGUAAUUAUAAGAUUUUUGAAACAUUUUGAUUGAUGGAGGAUAUUGGUGAUACGAGUCGCUUAGCAACGUGUACUCUGAAAAGUCAAAUGACAUUUUCUAUGUGAACAACCUAUCAACAAUUGAAUAAAUAAAGGGAGAACUGGAAAACAUUAUGUAACGAAAGACACAGCAAAGAAUAUACCAACUGGAGCAAAAGCAAAACUACAAGUCUCAUUGAUUCAUCAUAGGAAAAGAAUCUGUAAUGGUGGUUCUAACUUCUACCAUCCACAUCAAACCCAGCCCCAGUCCAGCCCGGUGUUGUAGAUCCUCUACCCUUGGGCACAGCCCCAACUCCUCUUCCUCUCCCUUGGAAUUGAAUUUUCCUUUUUCCUCUUCCUUCUCCCUCAAGAAUAGGCUGUUGAUUCUGCUUGUUUAUAAUUGGCACAUUUCCACUAUUUGCUUGAUUAAGUAUAUGUUCAGGGACUCUAUCACCUGGUGCUGUUGAAAGAGGAAUUGAAGCAUCUACAGCUGCACUGUUUGAUUUCAUGUCAUGAAGAGAUGAGGUGGAUGCUCUGCUAGGAUUUAAUGCUUCCAGUCUUCUUUUUAAUUCCUCGAGUCUCGAAAACUGAGAGUUACUGCUUUCUUGGACCAGCUGAUUUAAGUCUUCACAUAACUUUUGCUUAAUUUCUUCCUCAUCCUUUACAGCUUUUGAUGCUGCUUCCCACACCUAAAAGACAUUAAAACAAAAUACACACCAUACUGAAGAGGAAAAUAUAAAUGAUCUGUUACUUAAAUGUAUAAAGAAAAACCACACAUAUCUCAAAGCUCCCACAUGUAUGCUGUGGGGAAAAAAGAAAAAUCAUGACUCCAUGUGUUAGCGUUCCUUGUAAGGAUGCUCAAAUUAAGUAAAUAGAAAAUCUUGCUUGUAAAGAAAUACCAUCAUUUAGAAAAUAAAAUUUAAACCAAGAAAAACUGAGACACAACAAGAAGCAGCCACAUAGUUACAUGUAUCACAUAUCUUCUUCUAUAUUAUAGCUUAUCAGUUUUUGCAUGCAAUACUGCAAGAUCUUCAUACCUACCAGAUAAAUGAUAUAUACAGGCCUAUGACUGUUAACUGUUAAGGAUUUGCCUUCUUAAAUUUAAAUAAAAGACUCUUCACAUAUUCUCAGUCACUAUAAGAUGAUUCAUAAUUUGGACAAAAUAGACUACCUUAUGAUUAUUAUUAUUUUUUUAAUCUUGAGAGUUUCUCUUUUCUAUGACAGUCAGCUAGGUUGACUUGCUUCCUAUUUAUCAAGUUUUUUUGGGUGCUUGACGGGAUGGAGUUCUGUACUAAAUAAUUUCAAGUGGUGCUUAUAUUAUACAGGGUUAAAACCGCAGACAUGACGAGGACAUAAGCUGAGUGUUGCAAUUAAGAGGGACUAACCUUUCGUGCUUGUUCUUCCUUCAGCUUGGCAGCGCGAAUUCUUUCAGUUGAUAUUUCUAUUUUCUUUCUCAUGUGUUCAAGUGCUUAAGACAUGCAUCAUACAUGGGAAUAGUCACAAAGUUAACAAUAAACAAUUGAAGAAAGGAAGUUAAUAAAAAUUGCAACAUGACAAUAUCAUACCAACCUGCUUUUUUAGGUCCGGCCGUAAGUUUCAUCUCCAUUGUAAGAUUUGCUAGCUCUCUCUCAACAUCACGUAUUUUUGAGUAAUUUUCCUCGAUAUACCUUUUCAAUUGAAGCUGCUCUUCCUCGAUUAUAUGCCAUAACCAACACUGAAUCACAACUGCAUUCAGCAAAUACAACAAUUAUAAUGAACAGGUACGUGCAUAUGUAUAAUACAAAGACCUUCUCGGUGUAGGCAAUGACAGGAGCUUCUCUGGCGAGGCCGUCGGGUCCGAUCUCAGGAAGAAGCGAAGGAUUUGAAGCCAUUACUGUUUCGAAAUGUGAAAUUUGAACCGGAACAAAAAGUAAUGUGAUCUCUCCCUCUCUAAUUGUACUCUACGAGGAUCCACCGAUUUCUCUCCGAUCAGAUCAGUGUGCGUUUAUCGGCUUCUUGCCUUAGUUUAGUUUUAUUUUAUUUCGAUUUAACUUGACGUGCAUUUUAUGCUUACGAUUUGGCUCAGCGGACAAUGUGUAUCGCGUUUGCCCAACCUAUAUUCCGGGUGACGGCCGGCAUGACAUGAUUUGAUAUAUAUACGAAAUUGCCAUUGGGAAUUUGGGUUUUGGGAUGAGAUGGUGAGUAGCAUGCGGUGUGUUGACCCUUGACCUUGUCCACCUGGUAGUCACAUGGGAUAAGGAGAAAAUGGCACAGCACAGCACGUCAGCACCUUUGGUCUCCUCGCGAGUCUGGAGACCGA
rnacentral:misc_RNA from 1 species